UACGGAGGAUGCGAGCGUUAUCCGGAUUUAUUGGGUUUAAAGGGUGCGUAGGCAGCCGAGUAAGUCAGCGGUGAAAUUUUGCAGCUUAACUGUAACAGUGCCGUUGAUACUGCAUGGCUAGGAUUUGGUUGCUGUGGGUGGAAUGUGUGGUGUAGCGGUGAAAUGCUUAGAUAUCACACAGAAUAUCAAUUGCGAAGGCAGCUCACAAAGCCAAGAUUGACGCUGAGGCACGAAAGUGUGGGGAUCAAA
rnacentral:rRNA from 1 species